rnacentral:rRNA from 1 species
GUGCCAGCAGCCGCGGUAAUACAGAGGGUGCGAGCGUUAAUCGGAAUUACUGGGCGUAAAGGGUGCGUAGGUGGUUUGAUAAGUUAGGUUUGAAAUACCUGGGCUCAACCUGGGGAUUGCGCCUAAUACUGUUAAGCUAGAGUACUGUAGAGGGAAGUGGAAUUUCCGGUGUAGCGGUGAAAUGCGUAGAUAUCGGAAGGAACAUCAGUGGCGAAGGCGACUUUCUGGACAGAUACUGACACUGAGGCACGAAAGCGUGGGGAGCAAACAGGAUUAGAUACCCUGGUAGUCC